UGAAAGUUGCUAUUGACUUGGGGU
rnacentral:piRNA from 1 species